AACGAACGCUGGCGGCAGGCUUAACACAUGCAAGUCGAACGCCCCGCAAGGGGAGUGGCAGACGGGUGAGUAACGCGUGGGAACGUGCCCUUCGCUUCGGAAUAGCCCCGGGAAACUGGGAGUAAUACCGGAUACGCCGUAUUGGGAAAGAUUUAUCGGCGAAGGAUCGGCCCGCGUUGGAUUAGCUAGUUGGAGGUGUAAUGGACCCCCAAGGCUACGAUCCAUAGCUGGUCUGAGAGGAUGAUCAGCCACACUGGGACUGAGACACGGCCCAGACUCCUACGGGAGGCAGCAGUGGGGAAUCUUGGACAAUGGGCGCAAGCCUAAUCCAGCCAUGCCGCGUGAGUGAAGAAGGCCUUAGGGUCGUAAAACUCUUUCGCCGGAGAAGAUAAUGACGGUAUCCGAAGAAGAAGCCCCGGCUAACUUCGUGCCAGCCGCCGCGGUAAAAC
rnacentral:rRNA from 1 species